CGUAGGGUGCAAGCGUUGUCCGGAAUUAUUGGGCGUAAAGAGCUCGUAGGCGGUUUGUCGCGUCUGCUGUGAAAUCCCGAGGCUCAACCUCGGGCUUGCAGUGGGUACGGGCAGACUAGAGUGCGGUAGGGGAGAUUGGAAUUCCUGGUGUAGCGGUGGAAUGCGCAGAUAUCAGGAGGAACACCGAUGGCGAAGGCAGAUCUCUGGGCCGUAACUGACGCUGAGGAGCGAAAGCAUGGGAGCGAACAGGAUU
rnacentral:rRNA from 1 species